rnacentral:rRNA from 1 species
AUACGGAGGGUGCAAGCGUUGUUCGGAAUUAUUGGGCGUAAAGAGCAUGUAGGCGGUUCGUUAAGUCUGAUGUGAAAGCCCGGGGCUCAACCCCGGAAGUGCAUUGGAUACUGGCGAACUUGAGUACGGGAGAGGAAAGUGGAAUUUCGAGUGUAGGGGUGAAAUCCGUAGAUAUUCGAAGGAACACCAGUGGCGAAGGCGGCUUUCUGGACCGAUACUGACGCUGAGAUGCGAAAGCGUGGGGAGCAAACAGGAUUAGAAACCCCGGUAGUCC